AUCGGUGGUGUCCACCUCUUCCCAUUCCGAACAGAGAAGUUAAGCCCACCAGAGCCGAUGGUACUGCGGUAACACGUGGGAGAGUAGGUCGGUGCCAGAU
rnacentral:rRNA from 1 species